UACGUAGGUGGCAAGCGUUGUCCGGAUUUAUUGGGUUUAAAGGGUGCGUAGGCGGUUCCUUAAGUCAGUGGUGAAAUACUUCAGCUCAACUGGAGAGGUGCCAUUGAUACUGGGGAACUUGAGUACUGAUGAGGUAGGCGGAAUGGACGGUGUAGCGGUGAAAUGCUUAGAUAUGACAUAGAACACCAAUUGCGAAGGCAGCUUACUACACAGUUAUUGACACUGAGGCACGAAAGCGUGGGGAUCAAACAGG
rnacentral:rRNA from 1 species